rnacentral:lncRNA from 1 species
AGGCUGAAGUUCUCUAGAAGGAGAUGUUUCUACACUUCCUCCCCCAGAAGCUUCACCUGGAUGUUGCUGGAAGUGAAUGAAAUAAUUCUUAUUGACUUAUAUAUUACGAAGCAUGUUGUAGAGCUCCACUCCCUGAGCUAUUCUAUCCUCUUUGCAAAUGUAAAUUAAAUAUGGUACUUCAAAUCCUGAUUUUUCAAACUUUCACUUCAUUGUUUGAAAGUGGCUGGCUCAUAUCUGGAUCAUAUACUCCUUCAUGGGAAGAAUGAAACGUCUGCCCACAAUGGGAUGAAGUUGAAGUGUGAAUGGACAAGAAUACAGUGUGUGUAAGAGGUGUGGCUUGAGCGGCUGCUGAUCCCUUCAAAAAUGUUUUAAAAACAUAUCAGAUAAGUAGACGUACAGACUGGGACUCAAAGGUGACGCUGGCAGCUCUUUUGCUGCAGAUGAAAAUUGCUACAGAGGAAGCAAGAGCGAAGCAGUAUGACUUGGUGCUGCCAGGCAGCGGUGCCUUUCAUGGUGAUCCCAGGCUCUGUCACCGUGCCAUCUCCUUGAGACUUUCUGAGCUGUAAAUUGAUUUAAAAACAAUUGUAAUGACCUGCUUGCAUCAACUCAAUCAAACUUCAUUAUGAAGGUAAUAACAGUAUGUUAGAAACUGUCAUAGAUUUUCUUAAUCACUCCCUUGGACUUCCA